AUCGUUUAAAAGUAUAUUCUAUUGGGUGGAGUUCUACAGUAAUAGUAGAUAAAACCCAACUUUGGAAAAUGGUGAAAAAAGAAUUGUUGUCUCAAAAAUUAGAAAGGACACUUGAAAAUGCAAGAUCGAGUAAUAUCUGUCAUAUUAAUAACUUUCAUGCAAAACAAGAUAUCUCCAUUUUUGAGGGAAGCUAUAAAUCGUCCUGAAGCGAAUUCAUUAUUUGAUCUUCCUAUUAAAAAUAAU